GACGAACGCUGGCGGCGUGCUUAACACAUGCAAGUCGAACGGAAAGGCCUGCUUUCCCUUGUGGAUUGCGGGUACUCGAGUGGCGAACGGGUGAGUAACACGUGAGUGAUCUGCCCCCAACUUGGGUAUAAGCCUGGGAAACUGGGUCUAAUUCCCGAUAGGACUGCAGGGUGGAGCCUGUGGUGGAAAACGAUUUUCUAGUGGUUGGGGAUGAGCUCGCGGCCUAUCAGCUUGUUGGUGGGGUAAUGGCCUACCAAGGCGGCGACGGGUAGCCGGCCUGGGAGGGUGGACGGCCACAUUGGGACUGAGAUACGGCCCAGACUCCUACGGGAGGCAGCAGUGGGGAAUAUUGCACAAUGGGCGGAAGCCUGAUGCAGCGACGCCGCGUGGGGGAUGACGGCCUUCGGGUUGUAAACUCCUUUCGACCGCGAGGAAGCCACCUGGUUGGAAGGGUGGUGACGGUAGUGGUAGAAGAAGCACCGGCUAACUACGUG
rnacentral:rRNA from 1 species